AUACUUACCUGGCAGGGGAGAUACCAUGAUCAGGAAGGUGGUUUUCCCAGGGCGAGGCUUAUCCAUUGCACUCGGGAUAUGCUGACCCCUGCAAUUUCCCCAAAUGUGGGAAACUCGGCUGCAUAAUUUGUGGUAGUGGGGGACUGCGUUCGCGCUCUCCCCUA
ensembl:snRNA U1 U1 spliceosomal RNA